UACAGAGGGUGCAAGCGUUGUCCGGAAUCACUGGGCGUAAAGGGCGCGUAGGCGGCCCGAUAAGUAGGGGGUGAAAUCUUGCGGCUCAACCGCAAGGCUGCCUUCUAGACUGUCGGGCUUGAGCACAGUAGAGGCAGGUGGAAUUCCCGGUGUAGCGGUGAAAUGCGCAGAUAUCGGGAGGAACACCAAUGGCGAAGGCAGCUUGCUGGGACGGUACUGACGCUGAGACGCGAAAGCGUGGGGAGCAA
rnacentral:rRNA from 1 species